CAGUAGCCGCGGUAAUACGUAGGUCCCGAGCGUUGUCCGGAUUUAUUGGGCGUAAAGCGAGCGCAGGCGGUUAGAUAAGUCUGAAGUUAAAGGCUGUGGCUUAACCAUAGUACGCUUUGGAAACUGUUUAACUUGAGUGCAAGAGGGGAGAGUGGAAUUCCGUGUGUAGCGGUGAAAUGCGUAGAUAUAUGGAGGAACGCCGGUGGCGAAAGCGGCUCUCUGGCUUGUAACUGACGCUGAGGCUCGAAAGCGUGGGGAGCAAACAGGAUUAGAUACCCCGGUAGUCCCUGUCUCUUAUACA
rnacentral:rRNA from 1 species